AGUUUGAUCCUGGCUCAGGAUGAACGCUAGCUACAGGCUUAACACAUGCAAGUCGAGGGGAAACGACAUCGAAAGCUUGCUUUUGAUGGGCGUCGACCGGCGCACGGGUGAGUAACGCGUAUCCAACCUGCCCACCACUUGGGGAUAACCUUGCGAAAGUAAGACUAAUACCCAAUGAUAUCUCUAGAAGACAUCUGAAAGAGAUUAAAGAUUUAUCGGUGAUGGAUGGGGAUGCGUCUGAUUAGCUUGUUGGCGGGGUAACGGCCCACCAAGGCGACGAUCAGUAGGGGUUCUGAGAGGAAGGUCCCCCACAUUGGAACUGAGACACGGUCCAAACUCCUACGGGAGGCAGCAGUGAGGAAUAUUGGUCAAUGGGCGAGAGCCUGAACCAGCCAAGUAGCGUGCAGGAUGACGGCCCUAUGGGUUGUAAACUGCUUUUAUAAGGGAAUAAAGUGAGUCUCGUGAGACUUUUUGCAUGUACCUUAUGAAUAAGGACCGGCUAAUUCCGUGCCAGCAGCCGCGGUAAUACGGAAGGUCCGGGCGUUAUCCGGAUUUAUUGGGUUUAAAGGGAGCGUAGGCCGGAGAUUAAGCGUGUUGUGAAAUGUAGAUGCUCAACAUCUGAACUGCAGCGCGAACUGGUUUCCUUGAGUACGCACAAAGUGGGCGGAAUUCGUGGUGUAGCGGUGAAAUGCUUAGAUAUCACGAAGAACUCCGAUUGCGAAGGCAGCUCACUGGAGCGCAACUGACGCUGAAGCUCGAAAGUGCGGGUAUCGAACAGGAUUAGAUACCCUGGUAGUCCGCACGGUAAACGAUGGAUGCCCGCUGUUGGUCUGAAUAGGUCAGCGGCC
rnacentral:rRNA from 1 species